CAAGUUCAAGUGGGACUCAUUCCAAACACUGACCAAUUUUAUCCUGACUCCAAUUUUUCUUUGACCUUUCCUGACUAAUGCAAAAUGAAGCUAGCUGUGUGGAGAGGUUUUUUUCAGUGUUUAUACUGUAAGAGUCAUGCUGACUCAAACAGAACCAGGUUUGUGCACUUCCAGCGAGCCACAUAAUAGAUCCUUUGAGAGGAGCAGUGAAGGUAAUGGGGAAGGUCAUUGACACUCAGUCUGUACAUGCCAAGAGGAUGCAGACAAACAGUUGUGUGAAUUCAUAUGAGUUAAAAACACCUGAUCACACGACACAAGAGGGCAGCUUGGAAACAGGAAGAACAGCAAAGUUCUGGGACUUCCGACAGAAAGCCAUAGGUAUACAGACAAACACACACUUCACUUUUGCAAUCAAAUUUUAUCCAUUAGGUGCUAAAAUAGUCUUACGGACUCUAAUUUGUCAAUCACUUUGGCUGAGCCUCUCUGCACUUUUGAAUCCCUUCUCCAGAAUGCGUGGUGUCAUUGUAAUCCGUAAGUCUUAUGACACAGUUGGAGAUUCUGGGUCAUCAUCACCUCUGGGUGAAUGAUUUCACUGUCACUCCUAUGAUAGAUUAAGAUUAGGAGAAUAAUAACUGCUUUGAGCCUUGUCCUAAAUGAGGCUGCCGGGCUCUGUCUCUGUAAAAUCAGUGGAGGGAAGGAGAUGUGAUAGUAAAGUCAGGCACCUACUGUAGGUGGUCUGCUCACCUACAGAUCACAACCACCUUGUUCAAUGUGACUGAGCUCUGGCUGCCCUAGACAGCAGGGGAUGUAUUUACUCAUCUCUCACUUCAUCUUUAUGUGCUAUGGUAGGCAGAAUAACUCAGUCAGCUAUCAGUGUGAGAUUUAUUUCACCCAAUGCUAGUCAUCUAAAAACUGAGAGAUCAGCAUAAAAAGGUCAUCCAGGCUCCCCCUCAGCUUCAACCACUUUUGUCCAUAACAGGCCCCUUAGGUCUUAGGAUGGAUGAAGUAAUUCACCUUUUCUGCCUCCCCGUGUGGAGGAGAGAGAGCUGAGAUAGCAAGUUUUCACAAGAUGUCUCAAAUCCUGAGUGCUUACUAGGCAAAGUGAAAGUAGCUCUACUUCAAUUUGCCCUUCCCUGAUGUCCCCCGGUUUCAGUGUGGGUACUGUUCUGUUUACCUUCAAACUCCUCACUUUGGGGAAGAGCUGAUUCUGUGUGAAGACAAUGUUUCCAACAAGGCUGUGCUUCUCUAACAGAUGUAAUGCCAGUAGGACUAUUCACAUGAAUUAGGUUACAUGUGUAGUGCAGUGGGUAUGUGAUUUGUUAGUGUUAAUCUGCAUCUGUUUCUUUUUAUUGCUGCUUGGGGGCAUAUUUGUACAAAGAAUGGCCAUUUCAACAAAGCUUACAUGCUCCCCAAAUGCAGAUCUGAAGUCCUGCCAGGCAUCUGCGGAUGGGAAGAAGUCAGUAUUGUGAAAAGCAUGUCCCUUCCUCUCAUUGUCAUUUGUAUUGAAUUAGUGAUAUUACUGCAGUGCCUAGAGGCUGCAAAUUAGGUUUAGGGUCUCAUUCUGUUGGGUCCUGUGCCAGAAAAUCAGAUGACACUGGCACUGCCUUAGGGAGCCUGCAAUUUUGCAAACCUGCCAUGCGCAAAUGUACUUACAAGACCCAUUUGAUUUGGAGGGAAGGGAUGAAGGAAUGUCAAGACAGAUUUGGUUUGCUAUUUGUAGCAUGACGAGGAGCAAGUGAUCCCAUUGCACUGAUCAGAGCCAACAGGAGUGAGGAAAAGAGCUAGGCAAACUGCUGGCCGCUCACCUAUAGCACUGUCUCUGUCUGUACUUGGCAAAGAGCAUAACUUCACACUGUUGGGCUGGAAGCACUUGCAAGUCCAGAAACAAGUUGCUGUACCCUUUGCAGGGUGAAAGUCACCCCAGCCCUCCCAGGAACAGACUUUCUGCUAUGGCCCACGUGUCCUGUGAUGGAACCUAUUCUCUGAGCAAACAGAAAGGGGCACGGUCCUACUUACACUGGUGUGAUAACGAUCAGCCACCUAAUCUGUUACAACCAAAGGGAUGACAUUAAACCGUACAACAUAUUUUAAAGUGGCAAGCGAAAUACUAUGUUAAUUCAGCAGCAGAAUUCUGAUACUUUUUUCUACCACUGGUUUCUUUUUGAUGCAGCAGUCUCAGUAGGACUCAAAGAUUAAAAAAAGUGUUGCAGUUUUAGUAACAUUGGGAACACAUCGGUCAGUGAUAAUUCUCUCAUUUUCCCUUUAUCUGAAACAUUUCAAUUUCUAGGAAAGUAGCAUUUUUUUCUUUCCCUCUUCCCCCGCCCCCACUUGUACUGUAGUGUAAUGGAUCACAGACGACAAAUAAGUCAAUAAGCCUAACCAGUAUAUUAUGCCUUCUUUUAAAGAUGAGAUCUGAAGUCUACAUUUGAGAAGGUACAUGGCACAGCAUUUCCCUAACUAUGUAGCAUUUCCCUAGCUUUCAAAAAAGUGUUUUUCUUCAUGGUCGUUUCUGAUAAUGUUCUGUGAGUCCAAACAAAGUUGUUCCUUUCCUAAAAUGCCUUCACCAACUCCCCCCUUUUUAUAUGUGGGUACUUCAUUUUGGUUUUCCUUUGUGAACUCACUCAACUAGUUACUGAUUCUGACAUUAAUAUUGACCUAGAAAACUAUUCAUUCCAAGCUCUGCCUGGAAAUAAAACACCUCUGUUAAAAAGAUAAUGUGGAUUUUGCAAACAAAUGCAGACAAGAGAGGACAGAUAACAUUUUAGGCCUAUGACUUCGACAGUAUCCCUUUGAUGUACCAAGCCUUUCUAGCUGCAAAUGAUUUUCCAUCUCAGCUCUGCGGAUCUAGGAGUCUGAGCAGCACAGAAUGAGUGCCAGGGUGGCACAAUUGUUAGCCAUUGCCUUUUAUCCAGUCUGUGAACUUGCAAUGACAGAAACUGAAGAUUUCAGCCCUUCUAGCCUAAGUAGCAAGCUUGAACUCUCUCUGAACUCAGUAUGUGUUGAAGGCUGAAAUAGUUCAAAAGGAAAGAAUGAAGGAAUUUAUAAAGAUGAAAACUGUGUAGUUUCAUAUUCUGGGUGAUGGUGCCUGCAUUGCUGUGCUGGCACAGCCAGAUCUAAAUGCUGUUGCAGUGUGAAAGGGAAACUUUGCAUAUGUGAUUAGUCUUUUAACUGAUGCUCCUCUGAUUAAAGGUGUUGCUACCUUUCUGCUGCUACAGGCCAGAUAGACAGAUGUAUCAUAAAAUCAAACAAAACACUGUCAAUAAAUAAGGGUAGCAACAACCCUGAUUCCUGAAGUUCUGUUAUUAUUUUUUCCUAUCAGGUUCUGGCAAGAGCUGUGGAAAGAAGGAGCCUGUUAGGUGCCGGUGUUUGCUUCCACUGGAAACAAAUGGCUCUCCUGAUAUAGUUAUCUCUGGGGACUGACCUUAAACUGCCAAAUUCAUUCCGUUUAACAUAUCUGCUGGGUUAAGAAGUGGUUUGAGCCUGAUCCCAGGAUGUGCCAGGUGCCUGGGACAGUCUCUUGACGUCAGGGGGUGAGGAGUGGGGUGUUUUGUGUCCUGAGUAUGUGUGGGAAAAACAACUGCAGUGUUAAUCAAGAAUGUGCCCAUUGAAGCAACACUGGGAGACUGCCCCAGAGUCUCUCUGAGGCAGAGGAAAACCUGAAUACUUCUAACUCCAAAAUAAUUUCCUCAGGGUGUUUCAGUACUGACCAAAGUCCAUGUCUUUGACUGUCCAUGACUGUGUCACCUGAGAGCUGACUGUUCCAAGACAGUCCAUACGCUCUCUGCUGGCAUGAAACUUCUGUAGCUUCCCUGAGAUCUUAGAGUUCUUCACUUGUUUACUCCAAUUUAUGGCCUGCCACAAAUGUAAUGGCAAUAUCUGAGGCUGUCGCUAAAGCACUGAAGUCAGGCACGGGAGAUGGUGUGCAAAGAAAGCAGACGCUAGGGCAGAGGCCGCUUGCUUCCUCAGUGCUGCCCUUAGACUGCCAUCUGCUAAGGGAUUUGAUUGGUUUACAUGUGAUGCAUCCUUGCAGGAAAUGUCCACAUUAAGCUACAUGUGCCUGAGGAACAGAGCAUCAAGAGAAAAACAGCUGAUGAAAGAAAUAAAAUCUGGCUGUUAUUUCCUUUGAGGAUGGACAACAUAAGAAAAGGAGAUAAUCGGUUGCCCAAGGCCACUCAGUGGCUGCCUGAGGAGAGAAGCAGAGGAGGACUGCUCCUAUUCACAUCCAAGAGAGAAGGAAUUCCAAGGAAAACUCAGUGCAGAGGAAGCAUUGGUGAUAACAAUAGAUGUCAUGGACAAAGAACAGUAGCUGUUGAGAAAUUACACUGACUCUAGAAUUACAUUAGACUUGGGACAAAAUGUACCUGUCUUUGCUGCUGAACUCAAAGCCAGUAUGCUGUUGAAAAUCAGGAUAGAGGCCCUGCUGCAUUCUGGACUGCCCCUGAAACCUAUUUAUUUAAAUGACUGAACUUUGUGGGGACACAGUAGACUGUUUCCUGUUAGUUGAGACCUUUAGAAAAUUACAACAUUAGCAGUUACUGUGACACACAUUAAAUUACUCAUACGGUGAACCCGACAGGAUAGGGUGAUGUUCCUUUUCAGGUGUAUGAUUCACAAAAUGGGUGAGUUUUUACAGCAAAUCUUGAAAGGAAGAAGGAACCCUUUUAAAUGACUGGUUUAGCCCUGUUCUGCCUUUUGUUAUGAUUAAAGAUUAUAGUGUAAAUAACAGUCCAGUCCUAAUGCAGAAGAUGUUACAGCGGACAGUGGAUAAAGGGUUGUUUACAUCAGGCAGAAGUAGCUCAGACUCACUGGUUUGGUCUGGGUGAAGUGCUGCUGUGGACAGAAAGCCUCACCGCCUCAUCACUCCUCUUUCUGUAAGGGUGGAGACUGGCUGUGCCCACAAGGUGAUUUUCCAUAGCUUCUAUAGCAAAUUUUUCAGGAGCACCUCUGUACUGACUGUCCAUGAUGACCGCACAAGUCCAUAAUAGCCAGGCAGAGAGGAAUUUCUUAGCUUUUCUAGGCCAUAUAAUGAUGGAUGUUCCUAGACCGGUGGUCGGUUUCUCUCUCUGCAUGUCAUGAGAGGCGAAGAUAAACUUCCUUGUACCAGACACUCUAAGGCUCUAAGGUGACCAUGGCACACAUGCACAUGGCAACACGGACACAUUCCUAGUGGCCUGUUACCCUGCCUGAACACGUGUUUUUGAAGGAAGGGCUACUGCAUUUGGAAAUUUUGCCCAUCAAACUAGUUGAAGGUAACCUGAAGCUCUCCAGAGUGGUGAACACAAUAGUAGUGAUACAUGUGGUUCUCCAUGUAUGUGAGGAUGGAAGAGGUUGAAGUGAGAUUGAGAAUAAAGAUACAUUUUCAUCUAGUGCCCCUUUCAUUGUCUGUUAUAUUAGCUGCUCUCUUUUCCACACCAUUAACAGUAUAAGUAUACUCUCUUAUCAGCUUAAAGGUCUUAAAAUACAGUAUUUCACAUGUGGAUUAUGUGCAACUCUAACUCAUGCUGAUGAAUUCCUCUUUGAGGUGAAGUCGUAGAGAAAUGCUGCAAGGUUGCAUGGCUUUUCUGUGUCACAGAAAUAUCAGA